AAACAGCACCCUAGAGAAGGGGAGCUUCCCCCUGCCCUGGGCCAUCAGACUUCAGUACUUAUUGUUCAGCAGGUCCUGAAGGCAUUUGUCAGGUUCUCCAGGCAUGGCUGGGAGGAGGAGUGAGUGGCACAGGCCAGUGUAAGCAGCUGCAUUUUCGUUUUGAAAUCUGGAAGGGAGAUGCUGUAAUCCCAGCAUCUCACAUCGCUAACAAUCAUUUUUUCAGUAUUUGUCAUCAUCUUUAAUCUCAUACAUACGAGUACAUAUGUCAUCUCUGGAACAUAAUGACAUGAUUUCAUUGUGCAUAGUCAAUUACUAAUUUUAUGAACAUUUUUUAAAGAUCUCACUCCUCUCCAGAAUAACCUGUCUUAUGCCUAAAACAUUAUGACUCAUUAGUCUUUUUUUUUUUUUUUUUGCUAGAGUCAAAACGUGAGACAAAAGUUUCUGCUCCCAAUCCCAAGUUCUGGAAUAUUGGCCGGCAGCAGCACCCUGAGUCAGCAAUCCCUACUGUGCACAAGACAUAGGCUUUUGCUAGUGACAUAAAUUAUGAAUCACAGGAUGCUAGAAUUGGAAUGACCUGGAAAACACAUGCAAAUGCCCAAGUUUCCCUGUUUACAGAAAAAUACUUCAAUGGCUAUAUCCUGCAGCUAUUUAAUUAGCAGAGCCAGGGUAAGACAACAGUAAACUCUCAACUGUGCCAGAUCCUCUUCUAAGUGUUUCACACAUUUGCUCAUUUAACCUCAUAUCCACCCUGUGAGGUAGGAACUCUUACUAUCUUCAUUUUCCUCACGAUGAAACUAAGGCACAGAGAGGUUAAGUAACUCCCCCAAGGUCAGACAGUGGUUCAGUCAGGGUUUAGGUCCAGGUUGUCCAAUCUGGUAUCCCAGCCUCUUAACCACUAGAAACCUUUGUAAGGGUUCUAAUGAAUUGAGAUUUUAAAAAUGCACAUUGAGGCCGGGCACAGUGGCUCAUGCCUGUAAUCCCAGCACUUUGGGAAGCCAAGGCAGGCGGAUCACCUGAGGUCAGGGAUUUGAGAUCAGCCUGGCGAAACCCCAUCUCUACUAAAAAUACAAAAAGUAGCCAAGUGUGGUGGCACAUGCAUCCCAGCUACUCAGGAGGCUGAGACAGGAGAAUUGCUCGAACCUGGGAGGCGGGGGUUGCAGUGAGCUGAGAUCACACCAUUGCACUUCAGCCUGGGCGACAUGUAUAUUGAGGUCUCAGCUUUAAGGUUUCUGCUUGGCUUUUUCUCUUUGUUUUAAAACCUUAAGGUGAAAUAUUUAAACACGAACAAAAAGUAAAAUCUAUCCACUGAAUGGACUGAAUGAAAACAUCGUACAAACCUCCCCCUUGAGAGAAAAGGAUUUUAGUAACAUCUUUGGGGUUUUUGCCUCUUGGUUGGGUUGCUUAGGGAUGAGAGCUAGAGUUGUCUGCUCUAAAUUAUAAUGUAUUGGGGUGAACAGAAUAUACCCAUCAACAGGAUAUGUGCUAUGCAUAAAAUAUCUCUGGGAAGUUUGAAAAAAACUAGUAAUAUAUAUUGCCUACCAGGGGGGUUGCUGAGUGUUUGGGCAGAAAAAGGAGACAGACUGUUCUAGUACAUUUUGUACCUUUGGAAUUCACAGCCAUGUAAACAGAUUAUCUAAUCAAACAACACAAAUUAAAGACAGGCUCCUGCUUGUCUUGUUGUGAGUACGCUGCAUGCCUGUACUUACUGCUUUGAAUCCUAUUUUUUUGGUUCUUACAACAUAACCAUUUUCUCAUGCUACUGAAAGUUUUUCAUGAACAUGAGUUUUAUGCAAACGUUCUUGUUAAAAAUCUGAAGAAAUCGGAAGACUCCCAAAACAGGUAACUUCUAUUUCUCAAUCUCUCACUUUUCUUUGGGAUUUGUCAUUAUUGGGAAUCACAAUUUAUAUAUUCAGAAUCUCCCAUUUCUGAAGAAUUCACCAAUGUGUAUUAAUCCUAUCCUAGGUUUAGAACACAAUACUUGGCAUUUUUACCGUCAUUUUCCUCAUCGAAUCCCCACAAGUGCCUGAGGUAGAUAUUGUCAUCUUCGUUCUGUGUAAGGGAGCAGAGGGUCAGAAGAUUCAGGCAGCCCAGAAAUCACAGGGCUUGCAUCUGGAUCCAGAAUCUGGACUGUGGGCUUCAUGCCACUUUCUCCUUACCAAAAUGCCACCAGUUGGUCUGUGGCACUUUCAAAGGCAGCUUUCCUGCCCCACAGUGCACGUCUCUAACCAUACAUGCACUCAACAAUCAUUUAUUUAUUUUUUUAUUAUGAUUUUUUAUUGAGACGGAGUUUCACUCUUGUUGCCCAGGUUGGAGUGCAAUGGCACAAUCUUGGCUCACCGCAACCUCCACCUCCUGGGUUCAAGUGAUUCUCCUUCCUCAGCCUCCCAAGUAGCUGGGAUUACAGGCAUGCGCCACCACGCAUGGCUAACUUUGUAUUUAGUAGAGACGGAGUUUCACCAUGUUGGUCAGGCUGGCCUCAAACUCCCAACCUCAGGUGAUCCACCCACCUCGGCCUCCCAAAGUGCUGGGAUUACAGGCGUGAGCCACCGCACCCGGCCUCAACAAUCAUUUAUUAUGGUCCAGCAACAUCCACAGAUUUGGGGCCUGAAAGAGGAAGAUGACAUGCUUCCUGCACUCCCAGGUCUGCAAGCAGAAAAGACAGCGAGCUGACAAGGGGGACUGAGCGACAAUAAAGGGAGGGCGACAGGCGCUGCAGGCAGGAGGAACAAUGGGACCCUGCACCCAGGAAGGCUGGGCAGGGUCUUUGUAAACAGUGGUGACCGUGGUUGCAGGAGUCAGCCGGGGAGGGGUCUCGAAUGUCACUCUGGAGGUGGGAAAACUCCCGCCACUGCCCCAUCACUCACCACAAGGGUCACGAAAGACUUCCACUAUUGUGAUAUUGAGCAAUCAAAUACUGUUGAGAGAAAUUUCAUCCCCCACAAGCAAGAGGAAGCAAAAAAGGAAAUGGCCCCUGUGCACCUAAUUCUGACCAACUGAUACCUGGUGGCUGACGUGGACAUGACUGGGAGCCUGGAGGUUACUGAGGCUCUCGUGUGCUCUGAGACUCCAGUUUCUGAGGUGCUCACACUGCUCAGACAUUCAGGAGGUGGGGAGGGGCCCCACUUCUACAGAUGAGAAAAUAAGAUCAGGCAGGCAGUGUGUGCCCCAGGAGAUAUCACGUAAGCGGCAGAGCCAAUAUGAUCAGGAGAGCCAGAGCAACCAAGGUCAGGACAUUCCAGUGACAACGGGCCCCUGGUGAGGGCAGGUGGCCUAUUUCAAGGGUAAACAGGAGCCUGGUCCGGCUGGAGCCAUGUGUGACGGGACUGAGAAGACUCCGGGUAUAAAGGCAGAGUGCAGUGACAAUGUGCCCUGAGAGCUGCCCUGGAGAAAUGCACUGCAGCGGGUUGGAAAUGGGGUCUCUCCAGGUGAUGGGAACAUGAACGAUGGUGCAUGUGGAAUGGAUGCAAAAGUGGGAGAAACUGGAGAACGGGGGCCUUCCCAGAGAGCUGCUGCUUUGAGCCUGGACACAGUAAUGAGAAGGAGAGUGACGGGGUGAGUGGAAGGCAAGGGCAGGAGAGGGGCUUCAGGGAAGAAUUAAUGAACUCGUGGACUAGCGCUUCCUGCCAACAGAAUAACUGCCCCAUCCCUGAGCCAAAACCCCGAACUUACAUGGACCUAAGGGCAGUAUCAAAAGUGAGAUUUCUAGGAUACAUGUACAACAAAAGAAAAAAUAAAUAAAAAUUGGACAUCAUCAAAAUUAAAAGCUUUAGUAUUUCAAAGGACAUCAUCAAGGAAAUGAAACAGCUCACGGAGAAAAAUU
rnacentral:lncRNA from 10 species